rnacentral:rRNA from 1 species
GUAAUGGCCUACCAGGCGACGACGGGUAGCCGACCUGAGAGGGUGACCGGCCACACUGGGACUGAGACACGGCCCAGACUCCUACGGGAGGCAGCAGUGGGGAAUAUUGCACAAUGGGCGGAAGCCUGAUGCAGCGACGCCGCGUGAGGGAUGAAGGCCUUCGGGUUGUAAACCUCUUUCAGCAGGGACGAAGCGUGAGUGACGGUACCUGCAGAAGAAGCACCGGCUAACUACGUGCCAGCAGCCGCGGUAAUACGUAGGGUGCGAGCGUUGUCCGGAAUUACUGGGCGUAAAGAGUUCGUAGGCGGUUUGUCGCGUCGUUUGUGAAAACCCGGGGCUCAACUUCGGGCUUGCAGGCGAUACGGGCAGACUUGAGUGUUGUAGGGGAGACUGGAAUUCCUGGUGUAGCGGUGGAAUGCGCAGAUAUCAGGAGGAACACCGAUGGCGAAGGCAGGUCUCUGGGCAGUCACUGACGCUGAGGAGCGAGAGCAUGGGUAGCGAACAGGAUUAGAUACCCUGGUAGUCCAUGCUGUAAACGGUGGGCGCUAG